AUGAACGCUGGCGGCGUGCCUAAUACAUGCAAGUCGAGCGCACGGACGAGAAGCUUGCUUCUCUGAUGUUAGCGGCGGACGGGUGAGUAACACGUGGAUAACCUACCUAUAAGACUGGGAUAACUUCGGGAAACCGGAGCUAAUACCGGAUAAUAUUUUGAACCGCAUGGUUCAAAAGUGAAAGACGGUCUUGCUGUCACUUAUAGAUGGAUCCGCGCUGCAUUAGCUAGUUGGUAAGGUAACGGCUUACCAAGGCAACGAUGCAUAGCCGACCUGAGAGGGUGAUCGGCCACACUGGAACUGAGACACGGUCCAGACUCCUACGGGAGGCAGCAGUAGGGAAUCUUCCGCAAUGGGCGAAAGCCUGACGUAGCAACGCCGCGUGAGUGAUGAAGGUCUUCGGAUCGUAAAACUCUGUUAUUAGGGAAGAACAUAUGUGUAAGUAACUGUGCACAUCUUGACGGUACCUAAUCAGAAAGCCACGGCUAACUACGUG
rnacentral:rRNA from 1 species